GAUGAAGAACGUAGCGAAAUGCGAUAAGUAGUGUGAAUUGCAGAAUUCAGUUAAUCAUCGAAUCUUUGAACGCACAUUGCGCCCCUUGGUAUCCCGAGGGGCAUGCCUGUUCGAGCGUCAUUUCACCACUCAAGCCUGGCUUGGUGUUGGGCGACGUCCUCUUUGGGGACGCGCCUCGAAACGCUCGGCGGCGUGGCACCGGCUUUAAGCGUAGCAGAAUCUUUCGCUUUGGAAGUCGGGGCCCCGUCUGCCGGAAGACCUGCUCGCAAGGUUGACCUCGGAUCAGGCAGGGAUACCCGCUGAACUUAAGCAUAUCAAUAAGCGGAGGA
rnacentral:misc_RNA from 1 species